GAGCCCAAGAUUGAAAGCUGGCGUCUUCGGCGUCCGCAUUGUAAUCUCAAGAAGUGUUUUCCGCUUCGGACCAUGCCUAAGUCCCUUGGAAAAGGGCAUCAUAGAGGGUGAUAAUCCCGUACAUGGCUUGGAGCGCCCGAGGCUUUGUGAUACGCUUUCUAAGAGUCGAGUUGUUUGGGAAUGCAGCUCAAAAUGGGUGGUAAAUGCCAUCUAAGGCUAAAUAUUGGGGAGAGACCGAUAGCGAACAAGUACAGUGAUGGAAAGAUGAAAAGAACUUUGAAAAGAGAGUUAAACAGUACGUGAAAUUGCCAAAAGGGAAGGGUAGGAGGUCAGAGAUGCGGCCUGGGAUUCAGCCUUGCUUUUGCUUGGUGUUUUUCCCAGAUUGCAGGCCAACGUCGGUUUUGGGCACUGGAGAAGGGUAGGAGGAACGUGGCACCCCUCGGGGUGUGUUAUAGCCUCCUACUGGAUACAGCGACCGAGACCGAGGACAGCAGCGUACUCGCAAGAGCGGGCCUUCGGGCACCUUUACGCUUAGGGCGUUGGCAUAAUGGCCCUCUACCACCCGUC
rnacentral:rRNA from 1 species